rnacentral:lncRNA from 1 species
GAGUCCACCGAGGCUCGAGCGCGCGCGUCCUGCGGAGUGCGUCUGGCGGCCAGCCUGAGGCCGUCCUGUCCUCCCGGCCAAGGUAUCCCAGCCAGGGCUCGGCGAGAGAAGGGGUCGGGCUGGGACUCGGGUUCUUUCGAUUUCGGUGAGAGGGAAGCCACUGGGACCAGGAGGCUUGGAAGGAGGUUUGUCUCCUGGGGCCUGAAGACAGUAGAGGGAGGAAAGUUUUCUGAGAUACUCCACAGCCCCGUUCUUCCAGGAACCCCUAGCUGAAGUGGGCAUUGGGCGAAGAGUAAACUCUUGAAUCUUUCCCUCUGAGCUAGGAGGAUAAGAAGGGUCCCCAACCCUCUGGAAGCCAAUGAGCUUGUAAAGUUAACCUGGUCCGCGAAGCGUCUGAACAGAUCAGCCUGCUCACCUCAGCCUAUCUCUAGGUGCUGGAUUCCAAUCUGAGACAGUUUCUCAAAUUAGCCCUAAAGAGGAGUGAAUACCACAGGGGCUGAAGUCCUCUGGUGCGGAUGAAGUGUGAACAAGGAUCUCUAAAAAUAUUAUUGUAUAUGUCGCCUGCCUCUGCCAACAUCACCCACUACAGGGGAUGUCUAUUGAAUAUCAGGUGCACUGUGAGGAUUAAAUAGGAUCAUGUAAGUAAAAAUCCAAAAACAGCAGAAUGUUAUUUUGAUCUUAAGUAUUCUGUUAGGCUACUACAUGUUUGUGAAGGGGUGGUGUUGGGAGGGGACCCCAGCUCUGUGCACUUAGGCAGAAUGAACGGGAUGUGGGGGGUACACCUUGAGCUUUAGGCUAUAUAUAUUUAUUGUCUAAUAUAUAUAUAAUCUAUAUUAUAUAUAUGUUAUACAUACAUAUACUUUUAUUUUUUUUCUUCUGAGACAGUCUCGCUCUGUCGCCCAGGCUGGAGUGCAGUGGCACUAUCUCGGCUCACUGCAACCUCCGCCUCCCGGGUUCACUCUGGGCCUGGGGCUGUUGAGAGGUUCCUUGCUAAGGGGGUUCUCUCUCCUAAGAGCUCUAGGAAUCCAAGGUGGAAUCAGAGGUGGAAAACAGAAAUGGUUGGGAUAUUCUGAGAAGAGGUCAGAAUGUGGUCAGAGGGGAAAGAACCAGAGGAUUGACCGUACGUCAGGGUUGUUUAGCAUCUUAGAAAUCAUUUAGGGCAGGGCACAGUGGCUCACGCCUGUAAUCCCAGCACUUUGGGAGGCAUAGGUGGGAGGAUCUCUUGAGCCCAGGAGUUCGAGACCAGCCUGGGCAAUACAAUGCGACUCCCAUCUCUACAAAAAAGAAAGAAAGGAAAGAAGAAAGGAAAGAAAAGAAAGAAAAUUAGUUGUGCACACCUGUAGUCCCAGCUACUUGGGAAGUUGAGGUGGGAGGAUUGCUUGAGGCUGGGAGGUUGAGGCUGCAGUGAGCUGUGAUUGCACCACUGUACUCCAGCCUGGAUGACAGAGUGAGACCCUGUCUCAAAAAAAAAAAAUCAUUAUUUAGGGCUGGGAGACAUGGCUCAUGCCUGUAAUCACACCAUUUUGCGGGGCGGGGCAGAGGCUGGAGGACUGCUUGAGCCCAGAAAUUCGAGACCAGCCUGGGCAACAUAGUGAGACCCCAUGUCUUAAAAAAAAAAAAGCCAGUGUGAUAGGUGGCACCUGUAGUCUCAGCUAAGCUACUCAGGAGGCUGAAGCGGGAGGGUCACUUGAGCCGAAGAGGUCGAGGCUGCAGUGAGCCAUGAUCCUGCACCUGGUGACAGAGGUAGACCCUGUCUUAAUAAUAAUCCAGCCUGGCCAAUAUGGUCAGACUCCGUCUCUACUAAUAACACAAAAAAUUAGCCAGCCAUGGUGGUGCUUGCCAGUAAUUCCAGCUGCUUGGGAGGCUGAGGCACUAGAAUCACUUGAACCCAGGAGACGGAGGUGCAGUGAGCCGUGAUCGUGCCACUGAACUCCAGCCUGGGUGGCUGAGUGACACUCCGUCUCAAAUAAUAAUAAUAAUAAUGGUACCUACCUCAUGAAGUUGUGAGAUUAAACAUGAAGUUGUAAGGUUUAAGCUAUAUAUAUUUAUUGCCUAAUAUAUAUAAAAUAUAUAUGUGUUAUAUAUAUAUAAUUUUAUUUGUUUUUUUCUUCUGAGAUGGAGUCUUGCUCUGUUGCCCAGGCUGAAGUGCAGUAGCAUGAUCUCGGCUCACUGCAACGUCCGCCUCCCAGGUUCAAGCAAUUCUCCUGUCUCAGCCUCCUGAGUAGUUAGGACUACAGGUGUGUGCCACCACCCCCAGCCAAUUUUUGUAGUUUGUUUUUUUUUCUUUUUUUUUGGAGACAGGGUCUAGCUCUGUCUCCCAGGCUGGAAUACAGUGGCACAAUCACAGCUUACUGCAGCCUCAAAACUCCUGG